CAGCAGCCGCGGUAAUACGAAGGGGGCUAGCGUUGCUCGGAAUCACUGGGCGUAAAGGGUGCGUAGGCGGGUUUUUAAGUCAGAGGUGAAAUCCUGGAGCUCAACUCCAGAACUGCCUUUGAUACUGAAAGUCUUGAGUAUGGGAGAGGUGAGUGGAACUGCGAGUGUAGAGGUGAAAUUCGUAGAUAUUCGCAGGAACACCAGUGGCGAAGGCGGCUAACUGGUCCAUAACUGACGCUGAGGUGCGAAAGCGUGGGAGCAAACAGGAUUAGAUACCCCGGUAGUCCCUGUCUCUUAUACA
rnacentral:rRNA from 1 species